AUUGAACGCUGGCGGCAGGCCUAACACAUGCAAGUCGAGCGGAUGAUGGGAGCUUGCUCCCGGAUUCAGCGGCGGACGGGUGAGUAAUGCCUAGGAAUCUGCCUGGUAGUGGGGGACAACGUUUCGAAAGGAACGCUAAUACCGCAUACGUCCUACGGGAGAAAGCAGGGGACCUUCGGGCCUUGCGCUAUCAGAUGAGCCUAGGUCGGAUUAGCUAGUUGGUGGGGUAAAGGCCUACCAAGGCGACGAUCCGUAACUGGUCUGAGAGGAUGAGCAGUCACACUGGAACUGAGACACGGUCCAGAAUCCUACGGGAGGCAGCAGUGGGGAAUAUUGGACAAUGGGCGAAAGCCUGAUCCAGCCAUGCCGCGUGUGUGAAGAAGGUCUUCGGAUUGUAAAGCACUUUAAGUUGGGAGGAAGGGCAGUAAGUUAAUACCUUGCUGUUUUGACGUUACCAACAGAAUAAGCACCGGCUAACUUCGUGCCAGCCGCCGCGGUAACAC
rnacentral:rRNA from 1 species